rnacentral:rRNA from 1 species
CCUACGGGGGACAGCAGUCGAGAAUCAUUCACAAUGGGGGAAACCCUGAUGGUGCGACGCCGCGUGGGGGAAUGAAGGUCUUCGGAUUGUAAACCCCUGUCAUGUGGGAGCAAAUUAAAAAGAUAGUACCACAAGAGGAAGAGACGGCUAACUCUGUGCCAGCAGCCGCGGUAAUACAGAGGUCUCAAGCGUUGUUCGGAAUCACUGGGCGUAACGCGUGCGUAGGCUGUUUCGUAAGUCGUGUGUGAAAGGCGCGGGCUCAACCCGCGGACGGCACAUGAUACUGCGAGACUAGAGUAAUGGAGGGGGAACCGGAAUUCUCGGUGUAGCAGUGAAAUGCGUAGAUAUCGAGAGGAACACUCGUGGCGAAGGCGGGUUCCUGGACAUUAACUGACGCUGAGGCACGAAGGCCAGGGGAGCGAAAGGGAUUAGAUACCCCAGUAGUC